rnacentral:rRNA from 1 species
GAAUGCUGACAUAAGUAACGAUAAAGCGGGUGAAAAGCCCGCUCGCCGGAAGACCAAGGGUUCCUGUCCAACGUUAAUCGGGGCAGGGUGAGUCGACCCCUAAGGCGAGGCCGAAAGGCGUAGUCGAUGGGAAACAGGUUAAUAUUCCUGUACUUGGUGUUACUGCGAAGGGGGGACGGAGAAGGCUAUGUUAGCCGGGCGACGGUUGUCCCGGUUUA